rnacentral:rRNA from 1 species
GCGGCUACUGCUAUCAGGUUUCGACUAAGCCAUGCGAGUCAAGGGGUCGUAAGACACCGGCGUACUGCUCAGUAACACGCGGACAAUCUACCCCCAGGUGGAGGAUAACCUCGGGAAACUGAGGCUAAUACCCCAUAGUUGUCAUGUGCUGGAAUGCUUUGACGAUGAAAGAAUUUCGCCUGAGGAUGAGUCUGCGGCCUAUCAGGUAGUAUGUGGUGUAAAGGACCGCAUAGCCUAAGACGGGUACGGGCCUUGAAAGAGGGAGCCCGGAGAUGGACUCUGAGACACUGGUCCAGGCCCUACGGGGCGCAGCAGGCGCGAAAACUGUGCAAUGCGCGCAAGCGCGACACGGGAAGCCUGAGUGCCUUAACUAUGUUAAGGCUUUUCUUGAUCCUAAAAAGCUCAAGGAAUAAGAGCUGGGUAAGACGGGUGCCAGCCGCCGCGGUAACACCCGCGGCUCGAGUGGUAGUCACUUUUAUUGAGCCUAAAGCGUUUGUAGCCGGAUUUGUAAAUCUCUAGGAAAAUACUUCUGCUUAACUGAAGAAAUUUUGGAGAGACUGCAAAUCUAGGGACCGGGUGAGGCUGAAUGUACUUCUGGGGUAGGGGUAAAAUCCUGUAAUCCUGGAAGGACGACCGGUGGCGAAGGCGUUCAACUAGAACGGAUCCGACGGUGAGGAACGAAGGCUAGGGGAGCAAACCGGAUUAGAUACCCGGGUAGUCCUAGCUGUAAACACUGCCCACUUGGUGUUGCAUCUCCGGUAAGGGGGUGCAGUGCCGUAGCGAAGGUGUUAAGUGGGCCGCUUGGGGAGUAUGGUCGCAAGGCUGAAACUUAA